rnacentral:rRNA from 1 species
AACGAACGCUGGCGGCAUGCCUAACACAUGCAAGUCGAACGAGACCUUCGGGUCUAGUGGCGCACGGGUGCGUAACGCGUGGGAACCUGCCCUUGGGUUCGGAAUAACUCCCCGAAAGGGGUGCUAAUACCGGAUAAUGUCUUCGGACCAAAGAUUUAUCGCCUUUGGAUGGGCCCGCGUUGGAUUAGCUAGUUGGUAGGGUAAAAGCCUACCAAGGCGACGAUCCAUAGCUGGUCUGAGAGGAUGAUCAGCCACACUGGGACUGAGACACGGCCCAGACUCCUACGGGAGGCAGCAGUGGGGAAUAUUGGACAAUGGGCGAAAGCCUGAUCCAGCAAUGCCGCGUGAGUGAUGAAGGCCUUAGGGUUGUAAAGCUCUUUUACCCGGGAUGAUAAUGACAGUACCGGGAGAAUAAGCGCCGGCUAACUCCGUG